rnacentral:rRNA from 1 species
CACCGGCACCCCGAGUGGUAGCCACUAUUAUUGGGCCUAAAGCAUCCGUAGCCUGUUCUGUAAGUUUUCGGUUAAAUCUAUGCGCUCAACGUAUAGGCUGCCGAAAAUACUGCAGGACUAGGGAGUGGGAGAGGUAGACGGUACUCGGUAGGAAGGGGUAAAAUCCUUUGAUCUAUUGAUGACCACCUGUGGCGAAGGCGGUCUACCAGAACACGUUCGACGGUGAGGGAUGAAAGCUGGGGGAGCAAACCGG